UCGUCAGUGCGGUACAUCCUGACCUGCCCCGCCCCCUGCGCGGGCAGCGCGUGAUGAGCGCGGCGUCAUGACGUCACUGAUUACGUCACCGCCGGCGGCGCCCGGGCCGUGCAACAAAGCCCGGCGCCGCCACAGACUCUGAC
rnacentral:snoRNA from 1 species